rnacentral:rRNA from 1 species
GAUGAACGCUGGCGGCGUGCCUAAUACAUGCAAGUCGAGCGAACAGAUAAGGAGCUUGCUCCUUUGACGUUAGCGGCGGACGGGUGAGUAACACGUGGGUAACCUACCUAUAAGACUGGGAUAACUUCGGGAAACCGGAGCUAAUACCGGAUAACAUUUGGAGCCGCAUGGUUCUAAAGUGAAAGAUGGUUUUGCUAUCACUUAUAGAUGGACCCGCGCCGUAUUAGCUAGUUGGUAAGGUAACGGCUUACCAAGGCGACGAUACGUAGCCGACCUGAGAGGGUGAUCGGCCACACUGGAACUGAGACACGGUCCAGACUCCUACGGGAGGCAGCAGUAGGGAAUCUUCCGCAAUGGGCGAAAGCCUGACGGAGCAACGCCGCGUGAGUGAUGAAGGGUUUCGGCUCGUAAAACUCUGUUAUUAGGGAAGAACAAAUGUGUAAGUAACUGUGCACGUCUUGACGGUACCUAAUCAGAAAGCCACGGCCAACUACGUG